AAAAGAAGUAGGUAGCUUAACCUUCGGGAGGGCGCUUACCACUUUGUGAUUCAUGACUGGGGUGAAGUCGUAACAAGGAAACCGUAGGGAAACCUGCGGUUGGAUCACCUCCUUACCUUAAAGAAGC
rnacentral:rRNA from 1 species